AUGGCGGUGCCCAGAGGGGCCGUGAGGGGCUGCGCAGGGGGCAGCUCCGAGCUGGGCUUCGGGAACCUGCAACCGCGUCCGAGAGGUUUCUCAAAGUGGUGCUGCAGUAGCAGAAAUAACUGUGUGAAGAUACUGGGAAGUAAAACGGUGCUGAUACCAAGUCAAAAUUGUAUCCUUAUUGUAUCUCGAAAAUCAACCUUUCCUAAUGCAUUAUUCAUUACGAACACGUUAACUCAGGGUGACAUCAGACUGAUGCAGAAGCAAGUUGAUGGAAGUAUUGUCUAGGAAACCAUGCACUAUUCCCCUUAACCACCGAAAUUAAAUGAGUUAUCAGGCAAAUACUAAGUGCUGGUAUUUUAUCCACUUUUCUGCAACUGAUUUAAAAAAAAACAAACAACAGUAAAGCAUAGCAAAACUGAACUUAAUGUAUUGUGCAGGAAAUGUAUACACAGUAGAAAGAUACGUGUGUAUAUGCACAUCACUACUGUACUUACUAUUCUUGAUGCUGAUAAUUGCUUAUUACUGCUGAUACUUCUCCUGUGAGCAAUGGAGCGUAGGGUUUGGCUAAAAUAUAACAGCACUUGGUUUUUCAUACCUAACUAUCUGCUUGAGAAAGAUUCCGUGACGCUAAACUUGACAACCUUACUGUCGUGGUCAUGUAGUGUAGUGCAGAGGAAGGGAGGGAUAUGGGUGACAGGAUAAAAGGCGAGCAGGUAGAAGGAGCUCGUGGAGCAGCGUUGGGAUGUGGUGGUUUUACUCAGGUGGGCAGCUGAGUUCCACCACAGCCACUCUCUCACUCCCCUUCCUCAAAGAGGAAGGGGGAGAAAAUACGACACAAAGAGCUCA
rnacentral:lncRNA from 1 species